rnacentral:piRNA from 1 species
UAAGUGAUAGAAAUUAUUGUGGGAAGC